UUGUGCAGAGAGACGUCUGGAGACCUUUGGCCACUGCUUACCAGGACAAGCUUGAGCAUCCGGUGGUGCCACACCCGUUCCAGAUUGGAGACACCGUGUGGGUGCACAGACACCAGACCAAGAAUCUCGAGCCACGGUGAAAAGGACCCUACACCGUCCUCCUGACUACCCCGACCACCCUAAAGGUAGACGGAGUCUCGGCUUAGAUCCACACACCACACGUCAAGGCAGUCCGGUCUGAGGAAUUGACUAAUCACAACACUACACCCCAGACAUGGAGAGUUCAGCGCACUCCAAACCCCUUAAAGUUAAAACACCUACUUGGCUCCUCCUAGCCCUUUUGUGGCCUAGAGUCAGUGGGGGAAUAAGCCCCCACCAGACAGAAAUUUCUUGACCAAGUCGAGUGAAAGAUUUCACUCAAAGUUAGCAAAAAAAAAUGGGGGAAUGAAAGACCCCAGCUUAGCAGCAGUAACGCCAUUUUGCAAGGCUGUACUUAAGAUGACUGGUUCAGGGAAAGGUUAGAACACUGAGUACACAGCGGCUGCCAAGCAGGAUGUGUUUGGUUGAAGGCCUGGCAACAGGACGACUGCAGUUGAGCACCUGACAAUGAGAAAAGCCCCGGGAGAGGUCCCACACCCUGGUGGGGGGGCCGAGUCAGCCGUUAUGUUCCAAGAAGGUAGCUAAGAAACUUGCCCCCAGGCUGAACCCUUGGGGGGCCGAGUCAGUCCUUAUGUUUCAGGAAGGUAGCUAGGAAACUUGCCCCCGGGCUAAACCCUUGCCAUAUUAGAAUCCACCAAUUAUAUCCCUGUAACCAUGCAUCUGCUUCUGUAUGCUUGCUUCUGCUCCCCAAAAUCCUAUAAAAGCCCAUCCUUGGUUCCGUGGGGCGCGCCAGUCCCCCGAGUGACUGAAGCGCCCGCAGGUGCCUGUGCCUGUGUAUCCCGACAAUAAACCAAAUCCUCUUGCUGAUU
ensembl:lncRNA